rnacentral:rRNA from 1 species
AAUGAACGCUGGCGGCAUGCCUAACACAUGCAAGUCGAACGAGAACAUCGGGUCUAGUGGCCCACGGGUGCGUAACGCGUGGGAACCUGCACUUAGGUUCGGAAUAACUAUACGACAGGGGUGCUAAUACCGGACAAUGUCUUAGGACCAAAGAUUUAUCGCCUGUGGUUGGACCAUCGUUGGAUUAGCUAGUUCGUAGGGUAAUAGGCUACUAAGGCGAGCAUCAAUAGCUUGUCAGAGAGGAUGGUCACCCACACCGAGACUAAGACACGGCAUAGACUCCUACGGGAGGCAGCAAUGGGUAAUGGUGGACAGUGGGGGGAAUCCUGAUGCAGCAAGGACGCGAAAAUGAUGAAGGUCUUGGAGUUGUAAUGUUCAUUUACCCAGGAUCAUAAUGACGGUACCGAGAGAGUAAGCUCCGGCUAACUCCGUG